rnacentral:rRNA from 1 species
GAUUAACGCUGGCGGCGUGCCUAACACAUGCAAGUCGAACGAGGUAGCAAUACCUAGUGGCAGACGGGUGAGUAACGCGUGGUCAACCUACCCUUGUGUGGGGGAUAACUAGCCGAAAGGUUAGCUAAUACCGCAUACGUCGAGUCCGGGCAUCCGGAAACGAUAAAAGAAGCAAUUCGCACGAGGACGGGACCGCGUCCCAUUAGCUAGAUGGUGGGGUAACGGCCUACCAUGGCUCCGAUGGGUAGCUGGUUUGAGAGAGCGACCAGCCACACUGGGACUGAGAAACGGCCCAGACUCCUACGGGAGGCAGCAGUGAGGAAUUUUCCGCAAUGGGCGAAAGCCUGACGGAGCGACGCCGUGUGUGGGAAGAAGGCCCUCGGGUCGUAAACCACUGUCGAAGGGGAAGAUACUGACGGUACCCUUGGAGGAAGCCCCGGCUAACUACGUGCCAGCAGCCGCCGUAAAAC